ensembl:lncRNA
CCCCGCCGCUCCCCAGAGGGUGGCUUUGUCUGGGGCUGCGGCUCUGGGGCAGCGCGGGGCUCCCGGGGGGCCGUCCUGGGUGGCGGGGGCUUGUCUUCGUUCACUCUCCGGAGAAGAAAGCCCCCUGGACUCAGUGUCUCCCAAAGGCCCCAGGAGCCCGCUGUCCUCCGCGUGGGAAAGUCCUAGACCAGGUGGCCUAAUGACGGAUUCUGCAGAAGUGAAACCGUCCUUCUGAGGGAGGCAAAAAGGGCCCUGGGACAGAGCCCGCACAGGAGCCCUCAGCGUCCAGCCGCUGCUGUCCGAGCAAUGCUGGAGGAGCCUCCGGGCCUCCCUGAGCCCCACGUGCCCAGCUCCGCUGCAAGAAAAACGGACACGAGUGAAGCGACUUAGCCCGCAACGCGCGCAAGUGCUUAUUCACUUAUUUGGCGGUUCCGGGCCAUAGCGGCGGCUCUCGGGAUCCUUGAUCUUCCUUGCGCGCCUCUGUCUGCCCAGGGGGCAUUCACCAGCCAUCUCGUCCUCAGGGAAAGGCCGCACCAGGGACUCUGAAGCUGGCUCCCUUCACGGAAAGAAGCGCUUGCUCUUUCCAGUGAGAAGGAAGGGGGCCUCCCUGGUGGCUCAGAGACACGAGUUCGACCUCUGAUCCGGGAAGAUCCCACAUGCCGCGGAGCAGCUAAGCCCGUGGGCCACAGCUACUGAGCCUGUGCCUCGGGGCCCGGGACCCACAGGGACUGAAGCCCAUGCACCUGAGAGCCGGGACUCCGCGACGAGAAAAGCCACCGCGACGAGAAGCCAGAGCACUGCAACUCUCGAGUGGGCCUGCUCGCCGCUGCUCGAGAGAGCCCUCGCCAGCAGCGGAGACCCCGCACAGCCAGCAAUGGAGAGACCCAGUAAAAAGGGAGGGAAGGAGGCUGGCUUUAGCAACAUGUGGGGGUCAUUCCUCACUGCUUAGACCUCCACACGGGGGUCAGCUGUCAGCCUGCGCACACCCUAACCCACGAGCAAGGCCCUGCCCCAGACGAGGCUCCCUGCACGGGGAGGACAGCGAACGCGUCGUCUCGGCUUUGCCGCCAGUGAGGCAGGCGUGAGCGUCCGCGUGAAGAUGCUGGGCUCUGGAGACACAUUGCUUCUCAUGUCUUCUCCCACUUCUUACCUUCAGAAUAAAUCUUUAAACAGAGCAUUACCAGAUUCUUCACAGAGGCAGGCCGCACAGAGCAACCGCGUUGUCUGCUGUGAAUACGAUAUCUUUUAAAAUCUCCAUCCCAACUAUGGGCGGGUUUCCUCCCAUAAAUCUAGGCUGCCUGGCUCAGAUCAAAUUCCGCUUCUCAAGCAAUUUCACAGCUAAAUCCUCCCAAGUCAUUCGUAACAGUUUCUUUACAAAGGACAUGAGACUGGCGGUGAGCCUUUACUGACUCACAAAGCAUUUACCAUUUUCCUGUUUUUAGAAUCCUUAUCCCUUUCGAGUGGGAUUCUAAAAAUAUCAGCUUAAGCCACCC